AACGAACGCUGGCGGCAGGCCUAACACAUGCAAGUCGAACGCCCUAGCAAUAGGGAGUGGCGCACGGGUGCGUAACGCGUGGGAAUAUGCCCUUCACUGCGGAAUAACGUUUGGAAACGAACGCUAAUACCGCAUAAUGACUCCGGUCCAAAGAUUUAUCGGUGAAGGAUUAGCCCGCGUUAGAUUAGCUAGUUGGUGAGGUAAGAGCUCACCAAGGCAACGAUCUAUAGCUGGUCUGAGAGGAUGAUCAGCCAAACUGGGACUGAGACACGGCCCAGACUCCUACGGGAGGCAGCAGUGAGGAAUAUUGGACGAUGGGCGCAAGCCUGAUCCAGCCAUGCCGGGUGAGUGAGGAAGGCCUUCGGGUUGUAAAGCUCUUUCAGUUGUAAAGAUAAUGACGGUAACAACAGAAGAAGCCCCGGCUAAAUUCGUGCCAGCCGCCGCGGUAA
rnacentral:rRNA from 1 species